rnacentral:snoRNA from 17 species
AAAAAAGCAGGAUGCUGUUCUCUCUAUAAGCAGUAUCUUCGUAACCUUUAGGAACAUCAUGUUCAUCGUUAUUGGGUGAACCGGUGGACACAGCUCAAUGUUGACUGGUUCAGUAAAUGAUGGCACAUUU